GAUGAACGCUGGCGGCGUGCCUAAUACAUGCAAGUCGAGCGAACAGACGAGGAGCUUGCUCCUCUGACGUUAGCGGCGGACGGGUGAGUAACACGUGGAUAACCUACCUAUAAGACUGGGAUAACUUCGGGAAACCGGAGCUAAUACCGGAUAAUAUAUUGAACCGCAUGGUUCAAUAGUGAAAGACGGUUUUGCUGUCACUUAUAGAUGGAUCCGCGCCGCAUUAGCUAGUUGGUAAGGUAACGGCUUACCAAGGCGACGAUGCGUAGCCGACCUGAGAGGGUGAUCGGCCACACUGGAACUGAGACACGGUCCAGACUCCUACGGGAGGCAGCAGUAGGGAAUCUUCCGCAAUGGGCGAAAGCCUGACGGAGCAACGCCGCGUGAGUGAUGAAGGUCUUCGGAUCGUAAAACUCUGUUAUUAGGGAAGAACAAAUGUGUAAGUAACUCUGCACGUCUUGACGGUACCUAAUCAGAAAGCCACGGCUAACUACGUG
rnacentral:rRNA from 1 species